UACGUAGGAGGCAAGCGUUGUCCGGAUUUACUGGGCGUAAAGAGCGCGCAGGCGGUCGUGCAAGUCGCGUGUGAAAGCCCCCGGCUCAACUGGGGAGGGUCACGCGAUACUGCUCGACUCGAAGGCAGGAGAGGGAAGUGGAAUUCCCGGUGUAGUGGUGAAAUGCGUAGAUAUCGGGAGGAACACCAGUGGCGAAGGCGACUUCCUGGCCUGUUCUUGACGCUGAGGCGCGAAAGCUAGGGUAGCAAACGGG
rnacentral:rRNA from 1 species